UCCGUAGGUGAACCUGCGGAAGGAUCAUUACAGAAAGUAAACGCGGGUCAAACCGCGAACUUUUAAACCUUUGACGAUUGACUCGUGUUGCCUCGGCGGGCUCGCCCGCCAGAGGAUAUAUCAAAACUCCUAUUUUAACGGUGUUGUCUGAGCUACAAGCAACGAAUCAAAACUUUCAACAACGGAUCUCUUGGUUCUGGCAUCGAUGAAGAACGCAGCGAAAUGCGAUAAGUAGUGUGAAUUGCAGAAUUCAGUGAAUCAUCGAAUCUUUGAACGCACAUUGCGCCCCUUGGUAUCCCGAGGGGCAUGCCUGUUCGAGCGUCAUUACACCACUCAAGCCUGGCUUGGUGUUAGGCGACGUCCCCUUUGGGGACGCGCCUUAAAACGCUCGGCGGCGUGGCACCGGCUUUAAGCGUAGCAGAAUCUUUCGCUUCAAAGUU
rnacentral:misc_RNA from 1 species